UCAUUUCAUGAGCUCAUGAAGGUACGUUCCUGCAGCAACGCGAAAACACAAAACAUCACUUUUGGACUUUGCUUUCCAGAGGAACCUGAGAAAAUCAUCUUAAAUCUUCAUCCUUGAUCGUAGGAAGCUGCUUGUAGCUACAACAGAUGAGAGUUACUUCGUGCGCUCUUCCUUUCUGAGACGAGAGAUUAUCUGUGCCAAUGCAUUAAUUUUUUGUCUCGAUAUAACUUCUAAGAUAAGUUAUUGAUUUUGUCUUUGUAAAGAUGGAAGGUUUUACCGAUCUCCUAACAGAUGCAUUUUCAGAGACAUCUACUCCUCCAUUCCCGGACGAAGAUUUGGACUUUGAGAAUUUAACUUUUGAAGAAAAGUCUGAUGAAGACGGGACAGAAAACCUAACAACAAACAAUAAAGAGGCGGCACUGCUCCAGGAAGCAACAGGUGAAGCGGCAGCUCUGUUUGAAACCAAAGAGGCGGCUGAAAAUGUUUACGAAGAGCAGUCGGACAAUGAAACAGAUGAGGAGGAUUUUAAAGGUGAGGGGAUCGGUGCCGUGGACGGUGACAAAACAACAGAAGAGGAUUACACGAGCUCAGAUGGAGAUUCUGCACACGAAGGCUCCGUCUCUGGAGAAGAUGAUGAGGGUGUGGAAGAGGACAUAGGAGUGGCAGAGACACCAGGGGAUUUGUUGAUGUCAGUGCGCUGCAGUGAUGAGUUCAAUGACAGCGAUAAGGAGGACGAGAUCUUUGCUGAGGAACAACCUCUGGCCCCGGAGGAUGCUGAAAACCCUCAAGUUAGAAACGAGGAGCGAGGUGAGGCUGAGAGCGAUGAGGACGUGUCCUAUUUGGAAAGAUUCCCUGACCGAGGUGAUGAGACUGUGAUAAAAGCUGCAGAGAUAGGAGAGGAUGAGGGAGAAAGCGAAGAAGAAAAAGAAGAAGAAGAAGAAGAAGAAGAAGAAGAAGAGGGCAUAUCAUCUGAUUCCGAGUGUGAGGGCAUGAAAAUCGAACAGGAGGAAAAUGUUAUCGGACAGCCUCUUGAGGAGGAGGAAGAGGUGGAAAACAUUUACGGGGAUGAUCCUGAGGAAGCUAGUUCAGAGUUUCCUUGCAUAUCCUUCCAAAAUCUGCAGGAGCUCACUGGUGAAGGUGAUAAUGGGGAAUAUGCAGAGAAAAUGAAAGAUUUCUCAGGGGAUGAGCACCAAGAGGCAGGUGAGAGCUUUGCAGAUUACCCCUCAGACUUUUCUUCUUGUGAAUAUGCAGAAGAUGGGAGAAAAAAUCAGGAAAGCAGGCCAAGUUUCGGGCCCGGUACAUCUGAAUGCAGUUCAUACACGCAGCAGGAUGCUUUCAUGGAAGGACCUGUGGAAGAUAUAACACAGAUGGACCACCCCGAGGACAGCGAUGAGAAGGAAGACGGGUAUCUGUACAGCAGAGAUCUAGAGAUGGAUGCUGAGAAUCUGAUGAGCAUGGACGUAGCAGCUGGAGAACAAGACAGAGGCAGCACAGCCGCGACCAAGUCUGACGAUGAAGAAGACACAUCUGAGAGCGACUACAGUUCCAGUGAUGAUGACGAGGCUCGUAGGUGCCUUCAAGAGCUUGAAAACAACAAGCAGCCGGCCGACAGUCAGAUAUAUGCCGCGAGCGGAGCAGAUCGAGCAGAUUUCCUCAGCUGGGAAUUUGAUGUAUUAAAUACUGAUAGCCUUCUGACUGAAUACCUGUUAACCACAGGAGACAUGAUAGAAACAACACCCACAGGUGUUAACCAGGACCACCCAGAAUACAUCAGCUACUCUGAGGUACAGAGUGAGGUUCUCAAAAUUAAAAGCCCCUCCUACCAGGGAUCCCUUGAUGACAGCUUCUUCUUCAACAAUGCUGAGGCCUCUGGCAUCCCUCAGCAGGGAAAGCUGGAAGGGGAGGACUAUGAAGAAGAAAGGAACUGGGAGCAAGAAGAGAAGAGAAUCAAAGCUUUCAACGAUUUUUACGGCGAUGAGGAGAAUGAAAGAGAAGGGAGGCAGAUAAAAGUUCAGUUUUGUGCAGAGCCAUUGUCUCAAGUCAUUCGCUAUGAAAGCGACAGUGAUGAAGAGUCACUCAGCAGCUCCACAGACAGCGGGAGGGAGGACCUGAACUUCACAGAGUCAUGGGAUGAACCAAGGGAGCCUGACAACACCCUGCAAAUGAAACCUGCUUGUGAUCCUCCCAAAGCUCAGCUAGCAGAGAGCGAGCCAGACCUCGGCAACACACAAACCUGCACAGAAAAACACAAGGGUGGCAGCAUCAUGAAGCUGAUACUCAAGAUGGGUGUGCUGACCGGGAUGGGACUGCUGAUGUUCUGGUUGGCUACGGAUCAAGGAGAAUGGCUCAACCAGGUUUUCUUCUUUUAGGGCUAUGGAAGGUCCUUGGUCAUUAAAACCUGUUUAUAUGCUUGCACAUGUUUGUAAAGAAUGCAGUGUAAAGUCAAGUAUGUGUUGUUGUGCAGAUUUUUUGCUUAAUAAAGAGCUGUGUUUGUUCAAAAUUAUGCUAAAUUGCAUGAAUUCUAG
rnacentral:lncRNA from 1 species